CAUUUGCAAUCUGGAGCGUCGUGUCAGGGGUGGGAAGGCGGGGCAAGCACUCGAGACUCGGAGGCAAGUGGAAUGAGCUGCACGAGACGCAGCUGUGAGGCGUUGUGGUUCGUGGGACACGCCCCUCACCUGGCCCAACCUAAUCUGACUUCCCUGGGAACCGCAGGCAAUCAGUCCUAAGAUGACAGCUGUUUGCAGUGGGAUGAAGAACUUCCUUUGAAGAAUAAUAGUAACAAGCAGAAUGAAAACAAGCUACUCUCUUUGAGUUUACUUCUCUUAAGAGGAGCCUGCUAUCGCGAAUACGUUGUUAUAGAGAAUAUUCACAGAUCCAGCCACCCUCGCAGACAUUGGUUGGUUGAAUCCAUGCAUUCUGAGGGCUAUUAUGGAUUUGAACAACUGCAGAUUCUGGAAUGGUUGUGGUCCUGAAACCAGUCCCCCUGCAUACCAAGGGGUGACUGUGUAGUUAAGUUUUGGGAGAAUCAAAAGUUAUACAUGAAUUUUCUACUGUUGGACUAGCAACCUGAACCUGACCAGUGUUCAAAGCAACUGUAGUUUAUCAACCAAGAUAAUCCAUUCCCUGACCU